rnacentral:rRNA from 1 species
UACGUAGGGUGCGAGCGUUGUCCGGAAUUAUUGGGCGUAAAGAGCUCGUAGGCGGCUUGUCGCGUCGGAUGUGAAAGCCCGGGGCUUAACUCCGGGUCUGCAUUCGAUACGGGCAGACUAGAGUUCGGUAGGGGAGACUGGAAUUCCUGGUGUAGCGGUGAAAUGCGCAGAUAUCAGGAGGAACACCGGUGGCGAAGGCGGGUCUCUGGGCCGAAACUGACGCUGAGGAGCGAAAGCGUGGGGAGCAAACAGG